GGGCAUACUUCGACGUCUGUAAUUAUUGGACUUGUUUUUGCAUCACUGGUAAUAUUGAUACUAAUAAUUAUCAUCAUCGUCCUUUAUCGUCGAAAGCGAGUUAUCAUUGUACAAGAAAAUGAGCCUGAACACGUUUACGAAACUCCUAGUGCAGUGGUGUAUGCCAAAUUGGCUAUACCACGAAACGACCAAUCGCCGCGGAAAGAAAUAAAAUGUGCAGAACCAUACGCCGUCACUACCUUACCACCGCAUCGUUAUGCCUACUUUUAAACGUAACUCAAUCUAAUAGGGAGCACCGAUUGAAUGGCUUAUCAGUGUUGCCCUCUGGGUAAAUUUUCACUGAACCCUGGCCUUUUUUGGUGAAUUGCGGCACCCAUAUACCUUUAUGUUUUCCAACUAAAUAUUAAUGUGAGUAUAUUUUAAUGUUAUAAAUUAUAAUGUGUGUCGUAGGUUUCACCUGAAUAAACUUUAUUAUUAUU